CGCUGCCGUGGACCACGUCUUCCGGGUCGCCACCGGUCUGGACUCGAUGGUGGUGGGCGAGGCGCAGAUCCUCGGCCAGCUGC
rnacentral:tRNA from 1 species